rnacentral:rRNA from 1 species
AUUGAACGCUGGCGGCAGGCCUAACACAUGCAAGUCGAGCGAGCGGCGGACGGGUGAGUAAUGUCUGGGAAACUGCCUGAUGGAGGGGGAUAACUCCUGGAAACGGUAGCUAAUACCGCAUACCAUCAGAUGUGCCCAGAUGGGAUUAGCUAGUAGGUGGGGUAACGGCUCACCUAGGCGACGAUCCCUAGCUGGUCUGAGAGGAUGACCCGACGGACGGGAACUGAGAAACGGUCCAGACUCCUAAGGGAGGCAGAAGUGGGGAAUAUUGCACAAGGGGAGAAAGCCUGAUGCAGUCAUGCCGCGUGUGUGAAGAAGGCCUUCGGGUUGUAAAGUACUUUCAGCGGGGAGGCGUUACCCGCAGAAGAAGCACCGGCUAACUCCGGGCCAGCAGCCGCGGUAAUUC